AUACGUAGGUGGCAAGCGUUAUCCGGAUUUACUGGGCGUAAAGGGUGCGUAGGUGGUUUCUUAAGUCAGGAGUGAAAGGCUACGGCUCAACCGUAGUAAGCUCUUGAAACUGGGAAACUUGAGUGCAGGAGGGGAAAGUGGAAUUCCUAGUGUAGCGGUGAAAUGCGUAGAUAUUAGGAGGAACACCAGUAGCGAAGGCGGCUUUCUGGACUGUAACUGACACUGAGGCACGAAAGCGUGGGGAGC
rnacentral:rRNA from 1 species